GGACUACAGGCAUGCACCAUCAUACCUGGGGAGGGAACCCAGGGGCUUCUGCAUGCUAGGACAAUUCAGGAGGUGCUCCAGAAGAAAGUCAAGACUGGCUGAGUGCUCACCUGUAUUUGAAGCGUAACUUCUGAACGAUGGCUUUCAUCUUGUCUAUCUGUUCAGGGUUGGCCAUGACUUUUUCAGUAAAGGGCACUUUCCGUUUAUCAUCAGCAUAGGGGAGGAAGACAAGCUGAAAGCCUAAAAAAGGCAGAUAGGUUUUCUGAGAUUUGUGUUGUAACUGUCUGUCUCAGUUCCAAAGUCAUCCUUCUAUGUCCUGCAAUAGUGUGGCUAGGGCCCUGCAAACCUCAUUUCUCCUUUACCAGCUGACACCUGGUGGCCUAGUGUGCUCUGACUCCAGAGGAAGAACAAAAGGCAAGAGGAAUUAUCCCUUCCUAUAUAUUUAUUGCUCCUGUCCAUAUUGCUCCAACAAGGAAGGACUCUAUACUUGGCAGCAGAGGUUGGUUUCAG